UUAUGAGAGUUUGAUCCUGGCUCAGGACGAACGCUGGCGGCGUGCCUAAUACAUGCAAGUCGUACGCUUCUUUUUCCACCGGAGCUUGCUCCACCGGAAAAAGAAGAGUGGCGAACGGGUGAGUAACACGUGGGUAACCUGCCCAUCAGAAGGGGAUAA
rnacentral:rRNA from 1 species